GGGUAUUUGGGUAUGAGUUAACAGAAUAUAAACUUUUAAAAGUGAGAUUUUUUUAAUCAUUACAUUUCUACCCCUUUUUUGUGAUCUCCAAUUGGUAGUUACAGUCUUGUCCCUUCACUGCAACUCCCGUAUGGACUCGGGAGAGGCGAAGGUCGAGAGCAGUGCCUCCUCCCAAACAUGACCCCGCCAAGCCUCACUGCUUCUUGACACAAUGCUCGCUUAACCCGGAAGCCAGAGGCACCAAUGGGUCAGAGGAAACACAGUACACUAAACCCUCCCCAAUCCCGGACAACAAUGGGCCAAUUGUGUACCGCCUCAUGGGACUUAAGUUCACGGCCGGCUGCGACACAGUCUGGGAUCGAACCAGGAUCUGUAGUGAUGCAGUGCGUUAGACCGCUGCGCCACUCGGGAGGCCUAAAAGUGAGAUUUUAACUAAACUUUUUUACAGUAGCCCACUAGCUAUAGCCCUACGCAGAGACUAUGUGAGAAAAUGACCCUAACCAACAUUGUACCAGAUUCUUCAGUUUUGCAUCUACAGUAAACUAAAUCAUCAAAUAUGGACCCAAUUGUAUGAACCGUAUGGUAAAUUCUACUCUGUCUGAAUGAGUUCAUAAUAAUCUUGACUUCUUAUAUAGCCUAGCCCUAUGCUAUCAAAUCUUCUAUAUUGUUUUUUAUAUCAAGCUUGGAUUGGUUACUUCUCAGAAUUGUUUGUGUUCUUUGUUCAAUAUCACAUAUAACAAACUCAGUGGGAGGACUAAACACAAACACAACUUUGAACUUUUGGUCAAAUACCAUAAGAAGACUGGACAGACUGAUAGAUCAGCUGAGAGGUGUUCACAUUUCCAUGAACAUAACAGGAGUGAGGUAAGGGAUAAGUGCAGAGUGGGUGUCAGAGUUCCAAGAUUUUGGGGGGUUUGUGUUUGGUAGUAGGCAGCAAAAUCAUUCUCACCAUCAUCAGAUUUUGCCUAAACAUUUUCGAUAUGAUAUGUAUGUAGCCUACUACAUUUCGAACCUGGACUUUUAUUGAAUAAUCAUAUCAUAUCUGAACUUAAUCGGCUUUUUCUAAAUACAUAAUUCUCUACUUUCCUCUAGUCUGUGUGUUGAGAUUUAGACACAUAAUAAUCCAAAUUGGGAAAUCAAUCAUUAUGGUGUCUGUAUUUCAUGUGAUUGUGAGAUGCAGGUUAGCAUAGAGACUAUUGAUUGAGAGGUUAAUAUUCAACUAUUUAGUCUAUGACCUUAAAACACAAGAGCUCCUAUCACCUAACUGUCUUUUCAUUUGCUUUACUGUCCUGGCACGAAUAAAUUCACUACCACAGCACAGGUUCAUUUGGGACAUUUGAACUUUAGAUGCAUUACAGAUUACCAGCUUUUCUAUCUCUAAAUUGCAAAUGUCUAGACGCGAUGAGUGACAUGUUUCAUUCUGAGUCAGGGCAUAGAAAUGUCUGGACGCGAUGAGUGACAUGUUUCAUUCUGAGUCAGGGCAUACAAAAGCACUAAAGACCUCCGUUCAUUUUCAAAAUGGAAAUCUCUCCUCCAGAAAUGGAUUCCAUUCAGUAUGAUCAAUUUGGUACGUCUGACAUUGAAAGUAACCACAGUCGGAGGAAAAUCAUCCCACAAAGAGGUAUGCAGAGCAGGGUGGUUCAUCUCCUGUAUGGUGUCUUGGUGCUUCUCCUGUUGAUACUACUGCUGAUAACUGGACUUAAAUUCUCUCAGUUAAACCAAGCGAUAGUUGAUGUCCAUCUUUACCUUGAGUCCCUGAACAAGACUGUGAUAAGUGCUUGUGCCACAUCUUCCAGUUCAGAUGAACGUGGUAUCUUCAGGUGUUUGGAAAUUGCUCCCAGGGAUGAACCAGACUUGUGGAGGUCUACAAUUUGUUUUUCUGAGGUCUUGGCUGAUUUCCUUUGAUUUUCCCAUGAUGUCAAGAAAAGAGGCACUGAGUUUGAAGACCCAGCUACUAUCAACCAUAACUAUUAUGAUGAAUUCCAGAUUCCAGUGAGAGGAACUUGUAGUGAAGAAUGGUGGUCCUUCCAGGAUAGCUGCUACCUGGCAUCAAAAAGGAAGCUCAACUGGAACAGUGCAGAGGAAAAAUGUAUUGAGCUGGGAGCACACCUGCUUGUUCUUAACAGUGAGGAUGAGCUGGACUACAUCUCUCAAGUGAUUGAUGCAGAAAAGAGAUACUGGGUUGGGCUUGUGGAGAGAGCACAAGAGGGCCACUGGACCUGGGUGGAUGGAACUGACUACAAAUCAACUCCACACUUCUGGGAUAAAGGGCAGCCAGACGACUGGCAGGUUGGUGUGAUUGGAGAGGACUGUGGACAGCUUCAUAACGGUCCACACAGACGACGCAAGCUUUGGAAUGAUGCAGACUGCAACCUAAUGUACAAUUACAUCUGUGAGGCAAAGGGGAAAUGAGAAACAGUAGACCCAUGCUUGCCAUUGACACAUGAGCUGUAAGCUAUCCCAGUGCUGCCCGACUGAUAUAACAUGACAGUCUCAGGAUACAGGAGAAAGGAUGGAUUUCUUUCAGUGACUGUACAACAAUCACAAAUUAUGGUAUUGAGCAUAAGAAACACACAGUGUAUAACGUGAGCUUAUUCACAGAAUAAAGUUUAAUUAAACCUUG